UACGUAGGUGGCGAGCGUUAUCCGGAAUUAUUGGGCGUAAAGAGCGCGCAGGUGGUUGAUUAAGUCUGAUGUGAAAGCCCACGGCUUAACCGUCGAGGGUCAUUGGAAACUGGUCGACUUGAGUGCAGAAGAGGGAAGUGGAAUUCCUAGUGUAGCGGUGAAAUGCGUAGAUAUUAGGAGGAACACCAGUGGCGAAGGCGACUUUCUGGCCUAACCCUGACGCUUAGGCGCGAAAGCGUGGGGAGCAAACAGGAUUAGAUACCCGUGUAGUCCCU
rnacentral:rRNA from 1 species